UUGCAUUCAUAGUUUCAGUGUUUUUUUUCAUGCACCACUUCAUGGAAAACAGUAUUUGGCUUUUGAUCACAGGUUUGUCCAUUUCAAAGUUAUACUGUCAUUCAGAUACAUCAUGGAAGACUUGUUUUAAAUCUAGAUUGUGAUACCUCAUUCUUAAGUGUGAAUACAUUUUUUCUUAGUGUUGUUGUGAAAUAUUUUCCAGCUCACUACGCAUUUCAGUGGUACUUCAUUGUCCUCCUGUGCUGAGAUGAGACGGCACUCUAAUACCUGCAGCACGAGCAUAAAAUUCUGCGACUGCGAUGUUUCUGAACAGCUGCAAAUGGAUGAUCCCAUCAGACAUGUCUAGAAGGUAUGUGAUGUCAUGUAUAAUUUGGUUAUUAUGAGCAUAGAUGAUAACCGUAGCAUUGCAGGAAUAAAAACGCCAUUCAUUUUAUCCA